rnacentral:rRNA from 1 species
CCUACGGGUGACAGCAGUGGGGAAUAUUGGGCAAUGGGCGCAAGCCUGACCCAGCAACGCCGCGUGAAGGAAGAAGGCUUUCGGGUUGUAAACCUCUUUUCUCAGGGACGAAGCAAGUGACGGUACCUGAGGAAUAAGCCACGGCUAACUACGUGCCAGCAGCCGCGGUAAUACGUAGGUGGCAAGUGUUAUCCGGAUUUACUGGGUGGAAAGGGCGUGUAGGCGGGAAAGCAAGUCAGAUGUGAAAACCAUGGGCUCAACCUGUGGCCUGCAUUUGAAACUGUUUUUCUUGAGUGCUGGAGAGGCAGGCGGAAUUCCAGGUGUAGCGGUGAAAUGCGUAGAUAUAAGGAGGAACACCAGUGGCGAAGGCGGUCUGCUGGACAGCAACUGACGCUGAGGCGCGAAAGCGUGGGGAGCAAACAGGAUUAGAUACCCCAGUAGUC